rnacentral:snoRNA from 1 species
GCAAACGACCGCGAGAAUCCCAGAAACCACCGCGGCUGUAGCAUAUAAAAUACGGGUGGCGCCGUGAGCAUGUGAGUGAGUGAGUGAGAGUGAGUGAGUGGAUGUUUGAGCGAGCAUGUGAGAGUGAGCCAGUCAGCCUCGUCCUACACAUUGAUCUUAUUUGAUCCCCCUGCAUAGUGCAGCCUGUGGCAGGGGUGAAAUGAUGAGACACCUCUGGCAAAGCCCUUAUCGGGCUAUGUGCGCUGAUCUCUGGUCUUCAGGCUGCGUAACCCGGCAUGAUGAAUCGAUCAGAUAUACUAGGCUAGGGAGCAGUGCGUCAUGCCCUGUCCCUUGCCUGUGAGUAUAGAGGCGAUUCUGACCAGG